rnacentral:misc_RNA from 1 species
GGGCACCAGAACUUAUCGGUACUAUGUCCUUGAGAAUACUAGCCCAUUCACUAGAAUCACCAAAGCAUUCUCCAGAAGCGAAGGACCAUCAUCACAUACAGUCUCUCUGCUUGCACCUGAUCAAUCUGAGUUUAUCAAUGAUUCUGUUAAGGGAGAUUUAGAGAGUGUUCAUCAAGUAGAAGAAGCUAAGAGUUUGUUCCGACUGUUUCCUAUUUGGGCGACCUGCUUGAUCUAUGCUCUAGUCUUUGCCCAGUCGGGCACCUUCUUUACCAAGCAAGGCAACACGU